GACGAACCGUCCAAACGUUAUUCGGAAUCACUGGGCUUAAAGGGUGCGUAGGCGGCGCGGAAAGUUGGGUGUGAAAUCCCUCGGCUUAACCGGGGAACUGCGUCUGAUACUGGAUGGCUUGAGUUUGGGAGAGGGAUGCGGAAUUCCAGGUGUAGCGGUGAAAUGCGUAGAUAUCUGGAGGAACACCGGUGGCGAAGGCGGCAUCCUGGACCAAUACUGACACUGAAAAGCGAAAGCCAGGGGAGCAAACGGG
rnacentral:rRNA from 1 species